rnacentral:rRNA from 1 species
UACGAAGGGUGCUAGCGUUGUUCGGAAUCACUGGGCGUAAAGCGCGCGUAGGCGGCUAUUCAAGUCAGGGGUGAAAGCCCGGGGCUCAACCCCGGAAUUGCCUUUGAAACUGUUUAGCUAGAGUGUCGGAGGGGAUAGCGGAAUUGCUAAUGUAGAGGUGAAAUUCGUAGAUAUUAGCAGGAACACCGGUGGCGAAGGCGGCUAUCUGGACGACAACUGACGCUGAGGCGCGAAAGCGUGGGGAUCAAACAGG